rnacentral:rRNA from 1 species
UUGACCUCGGAUCAGGUAGGAAUACCCGCUGAACUUAAGCAUAUCAUAAGCUGGAAAGAAA